GUGCCAGCCGCCGCGGUAAUACCGGCAGCACGAGUGAUGACCGCUAUUAUUGGGCCUAAAGCGUCCGUAGCUGGCCACGCAAGUUCAUCGGGAAAUCUGCGCGCUUAACGCGCAGGCGUCCGGUGGAAACUGCAUGGCUUGGGACCGGAAGACCAGAGGGGUACGUCCGGGGUAGGAGUGAAAUCCCGUAAUCCUGGACGGACCACCGGUGGCGAAAGCGCCUCAGGAGAACGGAUCCGACAGUGAGGGACGAAAGCUAGGGUCUCGAACCGGAUUAGAUACCCCCGUAGUCC
rnacentral:rRNA from 1 species